rnacentral:pre_miRNA from 1 species
CCUUGUCACUUGUUCGUCCUGUUGGCUGCGUUUUCUCACUGGACGGAGAACUGAUAGGGCC